GAAUCAAUUUCAAUAAUUAGAAAGAAUACGAAUACCAUAUUUCAACGGUUUAGAUUGGGUCCGAUCAUCUAAUUUCAUCUAAUCAAAAUCUAAUUAGGAUCUAAAUGAUCCAAAGUUUGACUAUCAGAUCAAAUCAGAUUCGACGUGAUAGGACCGAGGUUUCUUCAUCGAUUUCAUAAAAUCAAGUAGAGAGAGACUAUUAGAGGAGAGAGAAUUCAUGAGGUAUAAUUCGAAUUGAUCAGGUGA
rnacentral:lncRNA from 1 species